GUAGGUGAACCUGCGGAAGGAUCAUUAUUGGAUAACCUAGGUGUGAGGGUAGUCGCUGACCCGGAAGGUCGUGAACGCCGGAGUGCCCUCACACACAUCCAUCUCACCCCUAUGGGCACCACCGCGUGGGGCCCCCUGUGGGUUGUUAGGGAGUGGGGUGACGUUUUGACACAAACUUUGUAAUCACUGGAGAAUGUUUAUUUUGUAUUUGCAAUCACGCGAUCUAUAAAACUGUCAACAGCGGAUAUCUUGACUAUCGCAUCGACGAAGAACA
rnacentral:misc_RNA from 1 species